AGUGUCCAGCUAUACACUUGAAGAAGUGAAAACUGCAGCUCUUUUCGGACAGUGAUCCCCUCGAAAAACAAACAAAAAACUGAAGCCCAGCGGCUGGAGCAAGGGGCCUGGAAAGGCGUUGAGCGAGGGCCGGGGCGCGAGGGCUCCGGGGCGGGCCGGCGGGGACUGCCUCUCCCGCUGGUCACCUGGGGUUGAACUGGAAUUGUUCAAUAGAGGCCUCGAGGCCCUCCAUGAUCUUCCGGCCCUCCUCUGUCUCAGGCGAGUCGCCCCAGUUCGCCAUUGCAGCCCCGGACGUGCGCCUCCCGCGGAGCCGCUCGCUCUCCUGAGUCGGAGUCGGGAACCCGGCGUCCGUUGCCAUGGCGACUCCCAGGCUUCCCCACAAGACUCCCACAGCCUGGAGGCUGCUGCGAUACCCCAG
rnacentral:lncRNA from 1 species